rnacentral:rRNA from 1 species
UGGGGAAUAUUGCACAAUGGGCGCAAGCCUGAUGCAGCGACGCCGCGUGGGGGAUGACGGCCUUCGGGUUGUAAACUCCUUUCUCUAGGGACGAAGCUUUUUGUGACGGUACCUAGAUAAGAAGCACCGGCUAACUACGUGCCAGCAGCCGCGGUAAUACGUAGGGUGCGAGCGUUGUCCGGAAUUACUGGGCGUAAAGGGCUCGUAGGUGGUUUGUCGCGUCGUCUGUGAAAUUCCGGGGCUUAACUCCGGGCGUGCAGGCGAUACGGGCAUAACUUGAGUACUGUAGGGGUAACUGGAAUUCCUGGUGUAGCGGUGAAAUGCGCAGAUAUCAGGAGGAACACCGAUGGCGAAGGCAGGUUACUGGGCAGUUACUGACGCUGAGGAGCGAAAGCAUGGGUAGCGAACAGG